rnacentral:rRNA from 1 species
UCCGUAGGCGGGCAAUUAAGUCAGAGGUGAAAUCCCACAGCUCAACUGUGGAACUGCCUUUGAUACUGGUUGUCUUGAGUUAUAGUGAAGUAGAUAGAAUAUGUAGUGUAGCGGUGAAAUGCAUAGAUAUUACAUAGAAUACCGAUUGCGAAGGCAGUCUACUAUCUGUAUACUGACGCUAAUGGACGAAAGCGUGGGGAGCGAACAGGAUUAGAUACCCUGGUAGUCC